UACAGAGGGGGCAAGCGUUGUUCGGAAUUACUGGGCGUAAAGGGCGCGUAGGCGGCCUUCUAAGUCGAACGUGAAAUCCCCGGGCUCAACCCGGGAACUGCGUCCGAGACUGAAAGGCUCGAAUCCGGGAGAGGGAUGUGGAAUUCCAGGUGUAGCGGUGAAAUGCGUAGAUAUCGGGAGGAACACCUGCGGCGAAGGCGGCUUCCUGGACUGCAACUGACGCUGAGGCGCGAAAGCUAGGGGAGCAAACAGG
rnacentral:rRNA from 1 species